rnacentral:rRNA from 1 species
UACAGAGGUCUCAAGCGUUGUUCGGAUUCAUUGGGCGUAAAGGGCGCGUAGGCGGCCUGCUAAGUCGAACGUGAAAUCCCCCGAGCUCAACUCGGGAACUGCGUCCGAUACUGGCAGGCUUGAAUCCGGGAGAGGGAUGCGGAAUUCCAGGUGUAGCGGUGAAAUGCGUAGAUAUCUGGAGGAACACCGGUGGCGAAGGCGGCAUCCUGGACCGGCAUUGACGCUGAGGCGCGAAAGCCAGGGGAGCAAACGGG